UAAUGCUUAGGCUCUUUUUCUAUUAGUAUAGAUAUAUUUUUUUCUAAAGUGUAGUAAGGUACAUAAUUGAAAUGAUGAUCUAUUUGAAGAAGGAGUAGAGUAGCAACAAGAUAUGAAGACACCACAAUUGUCAAAGCAACUAAAUGUCAUUUACAAACACACAAACACCAAACGGAGAAGAAAAAUCAAUUAUCCAAAUUAACGCCAACUGCUCUACCUCAUGGAUUGAUAUUCACCGUC
rnacentral:lncRNA from 1 species